UCCUGAUAAAAAGAAGUGUUUUCCAUUCAUCGUAGUGUUUUGCAUUGAGCACAUCAGUGUUCAACUGGUUCUUAUGAAUGUCUGUUCAUAUGAUGGUUUGUGUGUGUGGGUGUGUGGGUGUGUGUG